rnacentral:rRNA from 1 species
UCGCAAUGCGGCAAGCGUGACGAGCGACGCGCGUGGGUGAUGAGCUUCGGAUGUAAACCUUGUAGCUACUAUGACCGCGGUGUAAUAGCCAUCCGCUGACGUAAGUAGCAGAGAGCACGCUAACUACGUGCCAGCAGCCGCGGUAAUACGUAGGGUGCAAACGUUGUUCGGAAUCACUGGGCAUAAAGGGCGCGUAGGCGGUCCAUUAAGUCUUUGUGAAAGCCCCCGGCUCACCCGGGGAAUUGCAGGGGAUACUGUUGGGCUUGAGUGCAGGAGGGGAGAGCGGAAUUCCUGGUGGAGCGGUGAAAUGCGUAGAUAUCAGGAGGAACGCCGGUGGCGAAAGCGGCUCUCUGGUCUGUUACUGACGCUGAGGCGCGAAAGCUAGGGGAGCAAACGGGAUUAGAUACCCCGGUAGUCCUAGCCCUAAACGAUGGGUACUAAGUAGAGGGGACUCCGAUGUUCUCUCUGCCGGAGCUAAUGUAUUAAGUACCCCGCCUGGGGAGUAUGGCCGCAAGGCUGAAACUCAAAGGAAUUGACGGGGGCCCGCACAAGCGGUGGAGCAUGUGGUUCAAUUCGAAGCAACGCGCAGAACCUUACCAGCCUUUGACAUCCCGGUCGCGAGCACCAGAGAUGGAGCUCUUCAGUUCGGCUGGACCGGAGACAGGUGCUGCAUGGCUGUCGUCAGCUCGUGUCGUGAGAUGUUGGGUUAAGUCCCGCAACGAGCGCAACCCUCGCCCUUAGUUGCCAUCAUUUAGUUGGGCACUCUAUUGAGACUGCCGUUGACAAAACGGAGGAAGGUGGGGAUGACGUCAAGUCCUCAUGGCCUUUAUGUCCAGGGCUACACACGUGCUACAAUGGCAGGUACAAACCGCAGCAAACUCGCAAGAGGGAGCCAAUCGGAAAAAGCCUGUCUCAGUUCGGAUUGCACUCUGCAACUCGAGUGCAUGAAGUUGGAAUCGCUAGUAAUCGCGGAUCAGCACGCCGCGGUGAAUACGUUCCCGGGCCUUGUACACACCGCCCGUC